UACGGAGGAUGCAAGCGUUAUCCGGAAUUAUUGGGCGUAAAGAGCUCGUAGGCGGUUUGUUGCGUCCGCUGUGAAAACUCGGGGCUUAACCCCGGGCCUGCAGUGGGUACGGGCAGACUAGAGUGCGGUAGGGGAGACUGGAAUUCCUGGUGUAGCGGUGAAAUGCGCAGAUAUCAGGAGGAACACCGGUGGCGAAGGCGGGUCUCUGGGCCGUAACUGACGCUGAGGAGCGAAAGCGUGGGGAGCGAACAGG
rnacentral:rRNA from 1 species